rnacentral:rRNA from 1 species
GAUGAACGCUGGCGGCGUGCCUAAUACAUGCAAGUCGAGCGAACAGAUAAGGAGCUUGCUCCUUUGACGUUAGCGGCGGACGGGUGAGUAACACGUGGAUAACCUACCUAUAAGACUGGGAUAACUUCGGGAAACCGGAGCUAAUACCGGAUAACAUAUUGAACCGCAUGGUUCAAUAGUGAAAGGCGGCUUUGCUGUCACUUAUGGAUGGAUCCGCGCCGUAUUAGCUAGUUGGUAAGGUAACGGCUUACCAAGGCAACGAUACGUAGCCGACCUGAGAGGGUGAUCGGCCACACUGGAACUGGGACACGGUCCAGACUCCUACGGGAGGCAGCAGUAGGGAAUCUUCCGCAAUGGGCGAAAGCCUGACGGAGCAACGCCGCGUGAGUGAUGAAGGUCUUCGGAUCGUAAAACUCUGUUAUCAGGGAAGAACAAAUGUGUAAGUAACUGUGCACAUCUUGACGGUACCUGAUCAGAAAGCCACGGCUAACUACGUG